GGAGGUCCAGCCUGCCCAGUGACUUUGUUCAACGGCCGCGGUAUCCUAACCGUGCGAAGGUAGCGUAAUCACUUGUUCUUUAAAUGAGGACUAGUAUGAAUGGCCCCACGAGGGCUGCACUGUCUCCUUUUUCUAAUCAAUGAAACUAAUCUCCCCGUGAAGAAGCGGGAAUUAUCCUAUAAGACGAGAAGACCCUAUGGAGCUUUAAACAAUUGAAACAUUUGCUUUUCUCCUAACUCCUCCCGAGCUCUUUAUUUUAUUUAAGCAUUAUUAUUUCUAGUUUUAGGUUGGGGUGACCACGGAGCAAAACUAAACCUCCAUGAAGAAAUGAAUAUUUUUAAGCCACAAACUACUUUUUUAAGCAUCAACAAAUUGACCUUCAUUGACCCAAUAUAUUGAUCAACGAACCAAGUUACCCUAGGGAUAACAGCGCAAUCUACUUCAAGAGCUCAUAUCGACAAGUAGGUUUACGACCUCGAUGUUGGAUCAGGGUAUCCUAGUGGUGCAGCCGCUACUAAUGGUUCGUUUGUUCAACGAUUAAAACCCU
rnacentral:rRNA from 1 species